AAAAAUUUAGUUAAAAAAAAAAAAUAACAUUAACUUGUCAAGUUAAAUUUAUUGAAUAAUUCCAAUAAUUUUUA
rnacentral:tRNA from 1 species